CCUACGGGAGGCAGCAGUGAGGAAUAUUGGUCAAUGGACGAGAGUCUGAACCAGCCAAGUAGCGUGAAGGAUGACUGCCCUAUGGGUUGUAAACUUCUUUUAUAUGGGAAUAAAAUGUUCCACGUGUGGGAUUUUGUAUGUACCAUAUGAAUAAGGAUCGGCUAACUCCGUGCCAGCAGCCGCGGUAAUACGGAGGAUCCGAGCGUUAUCCGGAUUUAUUGGGUUUACAGGGAGCGUAGGUGGAUUGUUAAGUCAGUUGUGAAAGUUUGCGGUUCAACCGUAAAAUUGCAGUUGAGACUGGCAGUCUUGAGUACAGUAGAGGUGGGCGGAAUUCGUGGUGUAGCGGUGAAAUGCUUAGAUAGCACGAAGAACUCCGAUUGCGAAGGCAGUUCACUGGACUGCAACUGACACUGAGGCUCGAAAGUGUGGGUAUCAAACAGGAUUAGAUACCCGGGUAGUC
rnacentral:rRNA from 1 species